AUUACACUGAAGCAAGAGCAGCUGCUGUGGCCUGUGGGUUCGUGGGCAAGCAAGCAGUAGUAGUCAUGCGUGCUUAUCAAAGGGGCGCUUACUGAAGAGUUCCUUGGCAUUCUGUCCACCUCCUCUCGCCGAUCUUGCAGAAAGUUUACCAGUUCUGUUGCAUUUUUUUUGGAGGUGGGCAUACUGCCAAUGGAGCUGUGUAGGCCUCCCUUUGUAAAGCCCACAUGACAUAAAUACGAGCUAUACGUUGGAUUUGAUCAUCGCCUGUGUCAGAAACGCCUUCAUUAAGCUUUGUUUGCUGCCUUUUCUUGCGUGUCCAUUUGAUGGGCCUUUUGGUGUCGAUCGAGGUGCCCCGGCCGAUUCUUCUUGUUUUCUUUGCUGGGGUUAAGGUUCAUCAUGGUCAUGGCCCGUGAUAUGCUUUGGGGGCAAAGUUUUGGGGGAAAGCUUUUUUAGGCUAGCUCUUAGCUACAUAUGGUAAUCUGAUCCGCUCUAUUUCCAGACUAAUCUCGUCUGCUUCGAGGCCGCGCGGCCAUGGUUUUGACCUUUUGGGUGAAGACAAAAGAUUACCCCUCUCCCCGCUUCCUCGUGCCCUUCUUACGGAUCCACCAUUUUUUUUUUUGCGCGCUGCCAAGUUCUUCGGAAGAUUAACCCCGCAGUUUAGGCUUUCUUUCUGAUUUCGCAUGCAGGCGGCAGGCCUGUUCCUGGAUCUCUGAAGAGAUUCAUCUGCAGAUCAUGAGGCCAGGGGCCAGUGUUGAGAAGACAGAAGCACACUAACCUCAUGACUCCUCCUGAGGCCCAAUGCCAGCUGUACCGUCUGUGAUACUGACCGAGUGGGAGCUUUUUGUGUUGGUCUAAGGAACUACUAGUAGUAUGGCAGUCCAAAGCCUGCUCCUCCUUCCACUCGUCUGGUAGACUGGUAGCUUCCUCGGAUGAAGAUGAUGGUUCGGUGUUUCGUUUGUAGUCUAGUUGAAUGUACUCUAGAUUUUUUGA